GAGAGCACACAGUAUGAAUGUCAGCACAAGAAGUGGAAGAGCAACUGGGUGUCCCAAGUUCCAGACUGGCAGCCUCUCCAGGAAUUGCUGGUUUUCCUCUGGCUGCUGUGUGAUGCUCAGCUCUUCUGUUCCUGAAGUGGAAACCGUGCUGGGGCUCAGCUGAUGGAGAAAACCCCCAUGUUUUGGAGCUGGCAUCUCCUGUCAAGGACCAAGGUGCAGUUGAUAUCCUCCUGGCUGGUGAUGGAGAGCAGAGCUGGGGUGAUGCACUAAUUCAACCAAAGCUGGGGACGUCUGUGACCUUCACAGCCGAGGGAUGUCAGCUGAGGGAUGAGAACCGCGUGCCAAGAGGAAGAAAGAGCUGCCACAGAUGGAUGAAGGCCAUCCCUUUCACACACGAAGCACAGCGAGCCCAAACCGGAUCCCCAUUCUCCAUGGGGAUCAGCCUGCAGGGAUGAUGAGAGAAGCAGAGUGAGUCCCCGGCCCUCUCCAGAGCUGGACUGCAAAACCACAGGCUUCAGCAAAGCCUUUUGAGCCAGCCCACCUCCCAGCAGAGUGACUGUCCCUUUCUCUCGACUCGGAGCUGGAAAUAAUGACAGGAUACUCCUCUCUGCAGACCCGCCCGACAGAGAGCGGGGAGGGAUCCACUGUGAAGCCCCAAAACCAAUCUUGAGGAAGAAACACAGCUUGCCUCCCAUCUUCCACCCCUGCAAACCCAAAGGGAGGGACUAUCUGUGGAUGUCCCUUUGGUCAGAAUCCUGGGCAAGGCAGCACCCCUGGGUGCUCAGCAGUCUCUUUGAGGAGGUUCUGUUUAGGCUGGCUACUGCUGAUCCCAGCCUGUCCUCAGCACACAGAUGCUUUUAACCUCUUGAGGAGGGGUUGGAGUGGCCAGCAGCUGCUGAGGACAUUGCCACAAUUCAGCCAUGUGCCUGCUCAGGACACAGACUGUAAACACAGUAGGGAAUCCAGGCCAUAGCCCAGCCCAGCCUGGCUGCCUGCCUCAAGUUCCCCAUCGCCCAGAAUUUGGAGCUUGCCUCUUUUUCCAUUACCUCUAAGCAGAAAUGGUGAAUGUUUCGGUAACUUUUCCUAAAAAUAAA